CUACUAGAUUCCUUCCAUGCUACUUUUGUCAUUCACUUUUUUGUCAUUCAUUUGUCUUAGUCUUUUGUCAUUCACUUGUCUCUUCUUUUGUCUCUUCUUGCCUUUGCAUGCAACCAAUCACAUUCUUUAUGGUUUCUAAACCUACUCACUUAUUCAUCUAUAAAUACUCUCCCAUAUCAACAUUAUCAAACCAUCUUCAUCACACUCUUUCCUUCUACCACAUUUCUUUCAUCUAACAAACUUAAGCUUUGCAAAAUC
rnacentral:lncRNA from 1 species